GAUGAACGCUGGCGGCGUGCCUAAUACAUGCAAGUCGAGCGAACGGACGAGGAGCUUGCUUCUCUGAUGUUAGCGGCGGACGGGUGAGUAACACGUGGAUAACCUACCUAUAAGACUGGGAUAACUUCGGGAAACCGGAGCUAAUACCGGAUGAUAUUUUGAACCGCAUGGUUCAAAAGUGAAAGACGGUCUUGCUGUCACUUAUAGAUGGAUCCGCGCUGCAUUAGCUAGUUGGUAAGGUAACGGCUUACCAAGGCAACGAUGCAUAGCCGACCUGAGAGGGUGAUCGGCCACACUGGAACUGAGACACGGUCCAGACUCCUACGGGAGGCAGCAGUAGGGAAUCUUCCGCAAUGGGCGAAAGCCUGACGGAGCAACCCCGCGUGAGUGAUGAAGGUCUUCGGAUCGUAAAACUCUGUUAUUAGGGAAGAACAUAUGUGUAAGUAACUGUGCACAUCUUGACGGUACCUAAUCAGAAAGCCACGGCUAACUACGUG
rnacentral:rRNA from 1 species